UGUAUUUUACCAAUACGAACAACUGAAAGAGGUAACUGGUCAACAAAGAAGAAAGUGCAGAGAAGAAAUGAGAAGUGGUAACGCUGGAAAUGAUAUUUGCAGGGACUAUAAUGGAGUUAGAGAAGAGCAUGUGGACACUGCUGCGAUUUGAAGAGUAGGUAUGCAGCCAGAGGGUCUUGGUGAAGAGAAACCGACAUGAAUGAGAAAGUGGUGAGAGGAAGAGGAUGAAAUGAUGCCGACAACAACUUCUUCACCUUUAAGGUCCUGGACAUACUUCACACACUAAAAGCAUGAAGGAUAAAAUACUGGAAUCUGAUCCAGACUUCAAAGGAAGAGCAUGAAAAUUCGUCAAGGCAUAGAAAAGAUGCUUGCUCUGUAUCUUAAGUUCUAGGAUGGGGAGAAGAGGGCAAACCAAGCUACUCUUGCUCACUUGGCGGAGGUGGUUGAGUGGAAGCUGAACAAUAAUGAAUGAUACUGAUAUCGGGGUUCUUGUUCACGGAACCGAAGAAUGAACUUCGCACACACUCAAGUACCUAGAAGAGUUUCCUGAACAAAGUGAGCACCCAAUGAAGUAUUGUUGAAUGAAUGUAUGAAUGAAUGGGACAUCAACCUUCUGAAGAGGCAUGAUGAAUAGCUGCUCCCCACAUACAGAGAGAGGAGGGGGAGAUGGAGCCCUAAAUGAAGUCACAGUGUUACCUGAGGUUUGGGACAAGCUCGUUUUGAACUUGAUUUUUCUUACGCCCUCUGAAAUAGGCCUGGUUUCUGGGGGUAAAGAAACAUAAUGAUCUCAUUUUUGUCAAGAUAUUUGUCUCUCACUUCAGAGGGCAUGAGGCAGGAGAAAUCCUUCAGCUCCUGUCCACACGAAGGAAGGGUAAGUGCUCAGUUUUUCCCCUACUGCUGCAGAACCUCCCUCAUCCCAUAGUCACAGCUGUAGUUCUACUGGGCAGGGUGUGAAACCUCUCUUCCCAGUGUACUUUGGCCUUCCGCAGAUUUGUUCCCUAUACCUGUCACUCCCCAGCUGGAGCUGUUAGGUUAACG